rnacentral:rRNA from 1 species
UACGUAGGGUGCAAGCGUUGUCCGGAAUUAUUGGGCGUAAAGAGCUCGUAGGCGGUUUGUCGCGUCUGCUGUGAAGACUGGGGGCUCAACCCCCAGCCUGCAGUGGGUACGGGCAGACUAGAGUGCGGUAGGGGAGAUUGGAAUUCCUGGUGUAGCGGUGGAAUGCGCAGAUAUCAGGAGGAACACCGAUGGCGAAGGCAGAUCUCUGGGCCGUAACUGACGCUGAGGAGCGAAAGCAUGGGGAGCGAACAGG